UCAGUUCNGAUUGCAGGCUGCAACUCGCCUGCAUGAAGUCGGAAUUGCUAGUAAUCGCAGAUCAGCAUGCUGCGGUGAAUACGUUCCCGGGCCUUGUACACACCGCCCGUCACACCAUGGGAGUCGGUAACACCCGAAGUCGGUAGCCUAACCGUAAGGAGGGCGCCGCCGAAGGUGGGAUUGAUGACUGGGGUGAAGUCGUAACAAGGUAAC
rnacentral:rRNA from 1 species